GACGAACGCUGGCGGCGUGCUUAACGCAUGCAAGUCGAACGGAAAGGCCCUGCUGUUGUGGGGUGCUCGAGUGGCGAACGGAUGAGUAACAAGUGAGUAACCUGCCCUGGACUAUGGGAUAACUUCAGGGAACUGGGGCUAAUAACGGCUAGGAGCUCCGGCUGCAUGGUGGGGGUGGGAAAGUUUCGGCGGUUGGGGAGGGACUCGCGGCUUAUCAGCUUGUUGGUGGGGUAGGGGCUUACCAAGGCUUUGACGGGUAGCCGGCCUGAGGGGGAGACCGGCCAGACAGGGGGGGACAGACAGCCGGGCCUGAGUCCUGCGGCAGGAGGGAGGAAUGAUGCAUCAUGGGUGGAAGCAAGACGGACGGAGGCACGGCGCGGGAGGGAGGACUUCGGUUGGUAUGCAAAUUUCGUUUGUGGGGGAGCGUGACCGACGGUACUGGGGAAAGAAGGACCGGCUAACUACGUG
rnacentral:rRNA from 1 species